UGCAAGAGCGUUUAUUACGUUUGGUAUCUCUCCGCUUUCACCUGACCUAGCAGAGUAUCUGAAAUUACAGUUCCUCUCAAGUCCUGUGCUGUAAACAAAGUUUCCGAAAACCGCCUCAAGCUACAGGUAAUCUCAGCAAGGGCCCUGCCCCCCUAGGAGAUUGGCUGGGUGAUCCCGAUGCAGGCUUCACCUACCCCUUCUGAACACCCGCGAAUGGUGAGUCAACAGCGGGGUGUUUGAUGUUUGCUUUGACGGUUGUCUGGAUGAUCUGAGUUACGGCGGAUGUCUGCACAGCCCCGUACCUGAUAGGAUAAGACUGACGCUGUCUGCUGUGCUCAAACCCCACGCCGCUGAUGUCGAGCCUCCAAUCGUGUCAGCUCUUUCCUGACCUUUCUCCACCGCCUCCCAUAUCU